GGAACUUCCUAUUGGUCCUAGGUACCGAGCAUGGGCACUACGGCAGUGCGCACGGGCGCAGCGUUGGUGGAAGUCGCGCUGUGCAGGUGUGUCCUCGCCUGGCGCGGCGCAGUUUCACUGUUACAUGCCUUGAAGGGAUGAGGAGGUUUCUGUUACUAUAUGCUACACAGCAGGGACAGGCAAAGGCCAUCGCAGAAGAAAUAUGUGAGCAAGCUGUGGUCCAUGGAUUUUCUGCAGAUCUGCACUGUAUUAGUGAAUCCAGUAAGUAUGAUCUAAAAACCGAAACAGCUCCUCUUGUUGUUGUGGUUUCUACCACGGGCACCGGAGACCCACCCGACACAGCCCGCAAGUUUGUUAAGGAAAUACAGAACCAGACACUGCCAGUUGAUUUCUUUGCUCACCUGCGGUCUCGGUGAUUCAGAAUACACCUACUUUUGUAAUGGGGGGAAAAUAAUUGAUAAACGACUUCAAGAGCUUGGAGCCCGGCAUUUCUAUGACACUGGACAUGCAGAUGACUGUGUAGGUUUAGAACUUGUGGUUGAGCCAUGGAUUGCUGGACUCUGGCCGGCCCUCAGAGAGCACUUUAGGUCAAGCAGAGGACAAGAGGAGAUAAGUGGCACAGCCCCGGUGGCAUCACCUGCGUCCUCGAGGACAGACCUUGUGAAGUCAGAGUUGCUACACAUUGAAUCACAAGUCGAGCUUCUGAGAUUCGAUGAUUUAGGAAGAAAGGAUUCUGAGGUUUUGAAGCAAAAUGCAGUGAACAGCAACCAAUCCAAUGUUUUAAUUGAAGACUUUGAGUCCUCACUUACCCGUUCGGUACCCCCACUCUCACUAGCCUCUCUGAAUGUUCCUGCUUUACCCCCAGAAUAUUUGCAGGUACAUCUGCAGGAGUCUCUUGGCCAGGAGGAAAGCCAAGCAUCUGUGACUUCAGCAGAUCCAAUUUUUCAAGUUCCAAUUUCAAAGGCAGUUCAACUUACUACGAACGAUGCCAUAAAAACCACUCUGCUGGUAGAAUUGGACAUUUCAAAAACAGACUUUUCCUAUCAGCCUGGAGAUGCCUUCAGUGUAAUCUGUCCUAACAGUGAUUCUGAGGUACAAAGCCUACUCCAAAGACUGCAGCUUGAAGAUAAAAGAGAGCACUACGUCCUUUUGAAAAUAAAGACAGACACAAAGAAGAAAGGAGCUGCCUUACCCCAGCAUAUACCUGCAAGAUGUUCUGUCCAGUUCAUUUUCACCUGGUGUCUUGAAAUCCGAGCAAUUCCUAAAAAGGCAUUUUUGCGAGCCCUUGUGGACUAUACCAGUGACAGUGCUGAAAAGCGCAGGCUACAGGAGCUGUGCAGUAAACAAGGGGCAGCCGAUUAUAGCCGCUUUGUACGAGAUGCCUGCGCCUGCUUGUUGGAUCUCCUCCUCGCUUUCCCUUCUUGCCAGCCACCGCUCAGUCUCCUGCUUGAACAUCUUCCUAAACUCCAACCCAGACCAUAUUCGUGUGCAAGCUCAAGUUUAUUUCACCCGGGGAAGCUCCAUUUUGUCUUCAACGUUGUGGAAUUUCUGUCUACUGCCCCAACAGAGGUUCUGCGGAAGGGAGUGUGCACAGGCUGGCUGGCCUUGUUGGUUGCUUCCGUUCUUCAGCCAAACACAUAUGCAUCCCAUGAAGACAGCAGGAAAGCCGUGGCUCCUAAGAUAUCCAUCUCUCCUCGAACAACAAAUUAUUUCCACUUACCAAAUGACCCCUCAAUCCCCAUCAUAAUGGUGGGUCCAGGAACUGGCAUAGCACCGUUUAUUGGGUUCCUACAACAUAGAGAGAAACUCCAAGAACAACAUCCAGAUGGAAAUUUUGGAGCAGUGUGGUUGUUUUUUGGCUGCAGGCAUAAGGAUAGGGAUUAUCUAUUCAGAAAAGAGCUCAGACAUUUCCUUAAGCAUGGAAUCUUAACUCAUCUAAAGGUUUCCUUCUCAAGAGAUGCUCCUGUUGGGGAGGAGGAAGCCACAGCAAAGUAUGUGCAAGACAACAUCCAGCUUCAUGGCCAGGAGGUGGUGAGAAUCCUUCUCCACGAGAACGGCUGUAUUUAUGUGUGUGGAGAUGCUAAGAAUAUGGCCAAGGAUGUACAUGAUGCCCUUGUGGAAAUAAUAAGCAAAGAGAUUGGAGUUGAAAAACUAGAAGCAAUGAAAACCCUGGCCACUUUAAAAGAAGAAAAACGCUAUCUUCAGGAUAUUUGGUCAUAAAAUCAGAAAUUAAAGAGAAUUAAGCUUUUUUGAGUGAAAGUACUAGAAGUCAGUUUUACUAGUGCCGGGACUUUAAAUUUUCAAAAGAAAAUUUUCUUUUAGCAUUUCUUGGAGGAGAUGGAGUGGGGAUUGGAUCCUUUAAGAGUAUAACAAAACUUCCUGAUUGGUUUUACAUGUCUUCCACCUACGCCCUUCCUGUGCCUAUGACUCUCCCCGAACUGCCCUGUUGCCUGUGGGCUCUCCUGAGCUGAGGCAGCCUUCGGUCCCCAUCAGCACCUCCUUGACUUCCCGGAGAACUUCACAGAGACGCUGUCCUUCCAUGCAAAGGCUUCCCGAAAUGGGGAGACUGACUGAGUAGCUCAUUCGUGUGAACUUACAGUGCCAACAUUUAAAAAAUAUGAAAAUGAUUUAUUUUUGUAUGAUGUAUACCCGUAAAGAAUGCUCAUAGUAAUGUACUUAAAUUACACAUGUAGAGCAUAUCUGUUACAUGUUUAUAUAACUGUCAAAUGGUUAUUUGUUACUAGAGCUAUAUUUCUGAUAAAAAUAUUUUAGGAUAAUUGCCUACAAAGGGAUUUAUUUUCAUGAUGCUGGAAAUACGAAAUGUAUUUUAAAGUUUCACUCUGACAUAUGAUUUAUCUAUCACCAUUACUUUUUUUUAAGUCGCAAUUUCAGAAUUUGGGAACGUUUGCGUUCGGUUUACAGGUGCCAGAACGUACAUAGUUUAGUAAAAGGAUACAGCCUUUUUCUUCUCUUUACAAACUCCUUUUAAUUCUGCUGCUUGGCACAGUUUUGGGUUUUCCCACACUCUUUAUCUUGAUACCACUCGAGCUGUGUCCUGUACCUAAAAUACUGACUUGAGAAGUAUCCUUGUAUUUUUAGAUUCCCAGUGUCUAAUUCUCUGUUAUAAUUUGUCCAAACAAAACAAAAUAACAAAGGAUUAUGAUAACCUUUUUUGACUCUUCUAGUAUAUAUUGUAUUUUUAUUUGAUAGCUUGGCAUUUAAAAAAUUUCUGUUGAAGGCUUUUGAUCCUUUUGAGAAAUAAAGAUCUGAAAGAAAUGGCAUAAUCUUAAAAU